CAUUAAGUGACCGAAUG
rnacentral:tRNA from 23 species